CCUACGGGGGGCAGCAGUGAGGAAUAUUGGUCAAUGGACGCAAGUCUGAACCAGCCAUGCCGCGUGCAGGAUGACGGCUCUAUGAGUUGUACACUGCUUUUGUACGAGGGUAAACCCCGAUACGUGUAUCGGUUUGAAAGUAUCGUACGAAUAAGGAUCGGCUGACUCCGUGCCAGCAGCCGCGGUAAUACGGAGGAUCCGAGCGUUAUCCGGCUUUAUUGGGUUUAAAGGGUGGGUAGGCGGGUUGGUACGUUAGAGGUGAAAUGUCGGGGCUCAACCCCGAAACUGCGUCGCAUACUGUUGGACUAGAGUAUAGUUGGGGUAGGCGGAAUGUAUGGUGUAGCGGUGAAAUGCUUAGAGAUCAUGAAGAACACCGAUUGCGAAGGCAGCUUACCAAACUAUAUCUGACGUUGAGGCACGAAAGCGUGGGUAGCAAACAGGAUUAGAUACCCGAGUAGUC
rnacentral:rRNA from 1 species